rnacentral:sRNA from 1 species
ACUCGUCUGUUGAUCGGAUGGU